UUUCCGUAGGUGAACCUGCGGAAGGAUCAUUAUUGUAUAACCGAGGUGCGAGGGCUGUCGCUGACCCGAAAGGUCGUGCACGCCCGAGUGCCCUCACUCACAUCCAUCUCACCCCUAUGUGCACCACCGCGUGGGUCCCCCUUUGGCUUGUUCGGAGGGGGGCUUACGUUUUCACACAAACUUUGUAUGCAGUGUAGAAUGUAUUUUUUGUUUUUGCGAUCACGCAAUCAAUACAACUUUCAACAACGGAUCUCUUGGCUCUCGCAUCGAUGAAGAACGCC
rnacentral:misc_RNA from 1 species